rnacentral:rRNA from 1 species
GACAUCAGCUUUACCGGUUUUUAGCCUGAUCUGGUCAGAUCUCAGACAUUAGCACGGUGGAGCCUGGUCAGUACUGGGCUGGGAUACCUCCUUUGAAACCCAGGUUGCUGCUGCUU